GGGGGCGAAACGGCUUCGACGGGGACAAAGAAGUGCUGGUUGCAUGCCGAGUGCUCAUCGGCUCGUAAACUCGAUGGGAAACUAAAUAUAAUCGCAGACGAUUAUAACUACGCCGUAGCUGCUUAGGCAGCUGCCGUCCUACCGUAUCACUCCUGCGGACACGGAUAGGGCGCCGACUUGCAGGAUAGUUUAUGCCGAAUGCCUGUUACGGUAUAAAUGAAAUUCUAGCAGGCUAGCGGUUCCAGCCUCUCGUCCGAUGGAGCCUCGAAUCGCGAACUUAAUCAUCGGAACAAGCAUGUAGACGCCAGUGCGGAAUGUUUUCGGACGCGGGUUCAACUCCCGCCGCCUCCACCA
rnacentral:tmRNA from 1 species